rnacentral:tRNA from 1 species
GUCGGGAUAGCUCAUUUGGUAAAA